UUUGAUCCUGGCUCAGAACGAACGCUAGCGGUGUGGAUUAGGCAUGCAAGUCGUGCGCGAAAGUCUUCGGACGAGUAAAGCGGCGAAAGGGUGAGUAACACGUAAUCAACGUACCCCUCAGAUCGGAAUAACCUCUGGAAACGGUGGGUAAUGCCGAAUGGUCCUGUGGCUGGCAUCAGCUGCGAGGUAAACGGCGGCUUCGGCUGCUGCUGAGGGAGCGGGUUGCGGCCUAUCAGCUUGUUGGUGAGGUAAAGGCUCACCAAGGCGAUGACGGGUAGCGGGUCUGAGAGGAUGAUCCGUCACACUGGGACUGAGACACUGCCCAGACUCCUGCGGGAGGCUGCAGUCGAGAAUCUUCCACAAUGGGCGCAAGCCUGAUGGAGCGACACCGCGUGCAGGAUGAAGGCCUUAGGGUUGUAAACUGCUGUCACGCUAUAGGAACCCAUGGCAGUUAAUAGUUGUCAUGCUGACUAAAGCGAGAGGAAGCGCCGGCUAACUCCGUGCCAGCAGCCGCGGUAAUA
rnacentral:rRNA from 1 species